rnacentral:rRNA from 2 species
CCAAGAUUAAGCCAUGCAUGUCUAAGUAUAAGCACUCUUUUACUGUGAAACUGCGAAUGGCUCAUUAAAUCAGUUAUCGUUUAUUUGAUAGUACCCUACUACAUGGAUACCUGUGGUAAUUCUAGAGCUAAUACAUGCGCAAAACCCCGACUUCGGAAGGGGUGUAUUUAUUAGAUAAAAAACCAAUGCCCUUCGGGGCUCCUUGGUGAUUCAUAAUAACUUCACGAAUCGCAUGGCCUUGCGCCGGCGAUGGUUCAUUCAAAUUUCUGCCCUAUCAACUUUCGAUGGUAGGAUAGUGGCCUACCAUGGUGGCAACGGGUAACGGGGAAUUAGGGUUCGAUUCCGGAGAGGGAGCCUGAGAAACGGCUACCACAUCCAAGGAAGGCAGCAGGCGCGCAAAUUACCCAAUCCCGAUACGGGGAGGUAGUGACAAUAAAUACUGAUACAGGGCUCUUUUGGGUCUUGUAAUUGGAAUGAGAACAAUCUAAAUCCCUUAACGAGGAACAAUUGGAGGGCAAGUCUGGUGCCAGCAGCCGCGGUAAUUCCAGCUCCAAUAGCGUAUAUUAAAGUUGUUGCAGUUAAAAAGCUCGUAGUUGAACCUUGGGCCCGUCCUGCCGGUCCGCCUCACCGCGAGUACUGGUCCGGAUGGGCCUUUCUUUCUGGGGAAUCCCAUGGCCUUCACUGGCUGUGGCGGGGAACCAGGACUUUUACUGUGAAAAAAUUAGAGUGUUCAAAGCAGGCCUUUGCUCGGAUACAUUAGCAUGGAAUAAUAGAAUAGGACGUGCGGUUCUAUUUUGUUGGUUUCUAGGACCGCCGUAAUGAUUAAUAGGGAUAGUCGGGGGCGUCAGUAUUCAGCUGUCAGAGGUGAAAUUCUUGGAUUUGCUGAAGACUAACUACUGCGAAAGCAUUCGCCAAGGAUGUUUUCAUUAAUCAGGGAACGAAAGUUAGGGGAUCGAAGACGAUUUAAGCAGUAAAUUUAGGCUUCAUCUCCUGCGAGAUGGGCCUAAAUUGGUAUUUGGUCGUCAAAAGUAAGCUCAAAGUGUCUUGCUAGUCUCCCCUCCAGGGGAGGCAACACCGUCAAACUGCGGGAACGUCCUAAAGCCUGAGCUACCAAGCUGCCGCCGAAAGGUGUCAGUGGCCGGGGUAAUGACCCAGGGUAUGGUAACAACGCUCAGGAUGUGACAAUGGAUAACCUGCAACCAAGCGCUACAGCCCCCCGGGCCACGCGUGCAGUUCACAGACUAGAUGUCGGUGGGGGAUCCGUCCCUUAAGAUAUAGUCGAAGCCCAGGGUGAAAGCCUGGGAUCAGUUGCAGAUACCGUCGUAGUCUUAACCAUAAACUAUGCCGACUAGGGAUCGGGCGGGGUUUCUAUGAUGACCCGCUCGGCACCUUACGAGAAAUCAAAGUUUUUGGGUUCUGGGGGGAGUAUGGUCGCAAGGCUGAAACUUAAAGAAAUUGACGGAAGGGCACCACAAGGCGUGGAGCCUGCGGCUUAAUUUGACUCAACACGGGGAAACUCACCAGGUCCAGACAAAUAAGGAUUGACAGAUUGAGAGCUCUUUCUUGAUCUUUUGGAUGGUGUUGCAUGGGCCGUUCUU